rnacentral:rRNA from 1 species
GGCGAACCGUGCGAACGUUGUUCGGAAUCACUGGGCUUAAAGGGCGCGUAGGCGGUCUGUUUAGUCCGGGGUGAAAGCCUCCAGCUUAACUGGAGAAGUGCCUUGGAUACUGACGGACUCGAGCGAGGCAGGGGUCGUGGGAGCUUCCGGUGGAGCGGUGAAAUGCGUUGAUAUCGGAAGGAACGCCGGUGGCGAAAGCGCACGACUGGUCCUCUUCUGACGCUGAGGCGCGAAAGCCAGGGGAGCAAACGGG